rnacentral:rRNA from 1 species
UACAGAGGUCUCAAGCGUUGUUCGGAUUCAUUGGGCGUAAAGGGUGCGUAGGCGGCGCGGUAAGUCGGAUGUGAAAUCUCGGAGCUUAACUUCGAAACUGCAUUCGAUACUGCCGUGCUUGAGGACUGGAGAGGAGACUGGAAUUUACGGUGUAGCGGUGAAAUGCGUAGAUAUCGUAAGGAAGACCAGUGGCGAAGGCAGGUCACUCGU